rnacentral:rRNA from 1 species
UUCAAAGCAGGCCUAUGCUCGAAUACAUUAGCAUGGAAUAAUAGAAUAGGACGUGCGGUUCUAUUUUGUUGGUUUCUAGGACCGCCGUAAUGAUUAAUAGGGACAGUCGGGGGCAUCAGUAUUCAAUUGUCAGAGGUGAAAUUCUUGGAUUUAUUGAAGACUAACUACUGCGAAAGCAUUUGCCAAGGAUGUUUUCAUUAAUCAGGAACGAAAGUUAGGGGAUCGAAGACGAUUUUUAACUAUACUGUACUGGUAUUUGGUCGUCGAGAAUCAGGCGGAAGCCUGGUUAGUCCGUAUGUUCGUACGGGCGACACCGUCAAAUUGCGGGGACCCUCUUAGAGCCUGCUGCCACACCUAACCCCUAGAAAUAGGGGCUAGUCGUAAAAGCGCACAGGAUUGAGUGAUCCGCAGCCAAGUCCUUCUUGCCCCCCCUCCAGGGGCAAUGGAUGCAGUUCACAGACUAGAUGUCGGUGGGGGGUUCGCACUGAGCCUCAUAAGAUAUAGUCGAUUCCGUCCUGAAAAGGGCGGUGGGAAAGCAGAUACCGUCGUAGUCUUAACCAUAAACUAUGCCGACUAGGGAUCGGACGAUGUUAUUUUUUGACUCGUUCGGCACCUUACGAG